GCGAGAGUGUUGGGCCUUUCGGGUGCUGUUGCCGCCGUCGCCAUUUUGUGUGCGAGCGGCGUCGUGAAAACUGGCGCGGGGUUGGCUAUCCAUCGCCAUCCGAUUGUAGCCUUCCUGCCUACUCUCGAGAAGUGAGGCCGGGGAACCCUCCCCGACAUGAGAGCUAAGUGGAGAAAGAAGCGGAUGCGUAGGCUGAAGCGCAAAAGGAGAAAGAUGAGGCAGAGGUCCAAGUAGACAUCGUACACAGUGCUACUAAAGCUGCAAAACGGAGUAUGGAAGUAUGGUGCUUGGGAAGCUGAUUUCCAGAUACAAUGCCUUCUGUCUGCUGCUGCUGUUAGAAGACUCCUUGCCCAUCUUCAAGAGGUUCCAUCUUUAAAGCCUAGGAGCUGUGGUUCUUCAAGGAUGGUGCCCCUGAGCUUUGCUAUUCUGGACUCAUCCUCUUUUUUGUGGCUUGAUGUAGUAACUGUACAGAAUAAAACCCUUUUCAGAGGAAGUUUUUUUCCAUUUUAAA